rnacentral:rRNA from 1 species
AUUGAACGCUGGCGGCAGGCCUAACACAUGCAAGUCGAACGAGUGGCGGACGGGUGAGUAAUGUCUGGGAAACUGCCCGAUGGAGGGGGAUAACUACUGGAAACGGUAGCUAAUACCGCAUACCAUCGGAUGUGCCCAGAUGGGAUUAGAUAGGAGGUGGGGAAAUGGCUCACAUAGGCGACGAUCCCUAGCUGGUCUGAGAGGAUGACCAGCCCCACUGGAACUUGGACACGGUCCAUACUCCUCCGGUAGGCGGCAGUGGGGAAUAUUGCACAAUGGGGGCAAGCCUGAUGCAGCCAUGCCGCGUGUAUGAAGAAGGCCUUCGGGUUGUAAAGUACUUUCAGCGAGGAGGCGUUACUCGCAGAAGAAGCACCGGCUAACUCCGUGCCAGCAGCCGCGGUAAUUC